CUCGCGUAGGUGAUUUCAGAUUCCACUUGAUCUUUUGACACCGUGUUUGUCUUUCAAUCUUAAUGUCUGCAAAGGAUCGAAGAAAGAAGAAAACCGGUCCAGCCACUCUUGCCAACUACGAAGUGGAUCCCAAUUUGGGCGACGAUAUCGAAAUCGAACACGAUCCUGGCAGUAGAGUAUUGUUUCCCCAGGACAACCAAACUCGAACUGUUUUCUGAUCCAAAUCUUGGAAAUUGAGGAGCGCGAACUGCGACGAAAUCGCUUAAUUACGGUGCUGUUACUGUUGGAGAUCCAGUAAUGGCUUAUUGGAGCCCCAUGAAGAAGUUUUAUGACGCAAGAGUCGUCGAAGUUCCUCGCUUAGGUAGGCAUGUGUCUCAAAAGAUGCUUCCUUACGCAAAGCUGCAGCUGACUUUGUGGUAAAUUUCAAUUAUGCAUUAUAUACAUUCCUAACUGGUACUUCAGGCAGAUUAGUUCUUUUUUAAUAUUUAGUGCAAUGAUGAUUUGAAAGACUCUGAAUUUUUUAGUGAAAGUGGCAAGGUAGUCAUAUACUUAUUACAGCAUCAGCAAGGUGCAUAUGUUGAAUCCAAUUCUGACACUAAUUGACUUUUUAUGCUCAGACAAGAGAAAAAUCAAAGGAGUUAUUUGAAUCCAGCAAAGCUGGUUGCUUUGCCUUCCCUAAUUAUCUUGCAGUGAUGAUUAUAAUGCUUGUGAUUGAUUGUGCUUAGUGCCUUGAUAUGAGUGAUAUUGUCUAUGGUGAAAGUGAUCCAUCUCCUGAGGAAACAGGCCAAGUUGCAAUCAUGGUUGCACUGCAGUCAUUGGAAAAGCAUCUGAAGGAGGUUGUUGAGAGAGUAUGCAAUAUUGAAAAAAUCCUAAGGAUGCCAAGUCAAAAAAUGGACAGCUACAUCACAACAAGUAGAAGUUACUAGUGCCAAUCAAUCCUAUGUUACUAGACACACGUUUCCCAUUUUGCUGCUCGCUCUGUUGUGCAUUGCUGGAAUGUUACUUUUCAUCAUACAAUGGAAAACCUGCACAGACAACGUACAAGUAGACGUAACAUGUCUGGAGAAAGAAGAUCAAUCACAAACAGUAAUUAUCAUUUUGCCAUGUUGUGGACAACUACCAAUCUCAAAAUUUGAGUCAAAAGAAAAUGCAAAAAUGCAGCAAAGCGAAGCCAGCUAGAACAGCCACAAAACAUCAGAAUACAAAAACAAGAAAACGCUUUGAACGAGUAAGACGACUGGCUAUGAGAGAUAAAUAUCAAGUAUUGUUCAAACAAGCAAUAACUUUUUCAUGGUUUGAGCAUAUAUGUAUGCUAGUGUAGUGGUUGCUGACAACAUUGGAUAUGUGUAUAGAUAACAGUAUAAUACUCAACGGGGUACAUAAUUCUAGAAGCAUUACAGGUACUCAGUAUACAGUUGACGAAUCAGUUAAUCAACAAGACUUGUCUAUGUUACUUAGCAUAGUUAGUGUGUACUUGUCUAUUGCUGCUAAUAUACACAUGAUAUAC